GCAGUUCUAGCGGUANAGAGAAGCUUGCUUCUCUUGAGAGCGGCGGACGGGUGAGUAAUGCCUAGGAAUCUGCCUGGUAGUGGGGGAUAACGUUCGGAAACGGACGCUAAUACCGCAUACGUCCUACGGGAGAAAGCAGGGGACCUUCGGGCCUUGCGCUAUCANAUGAGCCUANGUCGGAUUAGCUAGUUGGUGAGGUAAUGGCUCACCAAGGCGACGAUCCGUAACUGGUCUGAGAGGAUGAUCAGUCACACUGGAACUGAGACACGGUCCAGACUCCUACGGGAGGCAGCAGUGGGGAAUAUUGGACAAUGGGCGAAAGCCUGAUCCAGCCAUGCCGCGUGUGUGAAGAAGGUCUUCGGAUUGUAAAGCACUUUAAGUUGGGAGGAAGGGCAGUUACCUAAUACGUAUCUGUUUUGACGUUACCGACAGAAUAAGCACCGGCUAACUCUGUGCCAGCAGCCGCGGUAAUACAGAGGGUGCAAGCGUUAAUCGGAAUUACUGGGCGUAAAGCGCGCGUAGGUGGUUUGUUAAGUUGGAUGUGAAAUCCCCGGGCUCAACCUGGGAACUGCAUUCAAAACUGACUGACUAGAGUAUGGUAGAGGGUGGUGGAAUUUCCUGUGUAGCGGUGAAAUGCGUAGAUAUANGAAGGAACACCAGUGGCGAAGGCGACCACCUGGACUAUACUGACACUGANGUGCGA
rnacentral:rRNA from 1 species